CCUUAAGUCAUGAUAGGUGGUUGAUGGUGAUUCUACUUCCUCAUAAGAUGAACCAACUCGUGCCAAGUCACCAAAUGGACACCAGUGAACUCUAUAUGGCAUUUCAGAAUAACUUAGAUCAUAGAAGUCCUCAUCAGGGAUCCAGUCAUCCAUGCUCAUCUCAUGUAAGGUACGAGUAGAGUCAUUAGCAUAGAGCCAUUGGCCUUUUUCAACUUUUCUUUUCUGCAAUUUGGGCAUUGCAUUGCUCCUUUCAUAUUAAAUGCUGAACCAAUGCAAUCCAGAUGGAAUUCAUGGCCGCAUUGAAGCGUAGCUCUGNNNNCCCCAUUAUCCGAUAUCGUAUCAAGGCAAAUCGAGCACGAAACCCCAGAAGAAGAAGGGUCGUCCUCAUCCGAAGCGUGGUGAAGAUGAUGAUGAUGAUCGGCGNNNNNNUUGUUGACGAUGAGAUCAGUGGUGGCUUUUGUUGAGCCCACCAUGUCCUCCUUCCCUUCACAGAC
rnacentral:misc_RNA from 1 species